rnacentral:rRNA from 1 species
GGAGGUGGAAUUCCGCGUGUAGCAGGUGAAAUGCGUAGAUAUGCUGGAGGAACACCGAUGGCGAAGGCAGCCUCCUGGGAUAACACUGACGCUCAUGCACGAAAGCGUGGGGAGCAAACAGGAUUAGAUACCCUGGUAGUCCACGCCCUAAACGAUGUCAACUAGCUGUUGGGGCCUUCGGGCCUUGGUAGCGCAGCUAACGCGUGAAGUUGACCGCCUGGGGAGUAC